UACGGGGGGGGCAAGCGUUGUUCGGAUUUACUGGGCGUAAAGGGCGCGUAGGCGGUUCGUUAAGUCGGAUGUGAAAACUGUGAGCUCAACUCACAGCCUGCAUCCGAUACUGGCGGACUAGAGUGCGAGAGGGGAAGGCGGAAUUCCUGGUGUAGCGGUGAAAUGCGUAGAUAUCAGGAGGAACACCGGCGGCGAAGGCGGCCUUCUGGAUCGCAACUGACGCUGAGGCGCGAAAGCUAGGGGAGCAAACAGG
rnacentral:misc_RNA from 1 species